AUUGAACGCUGGCGGCAGGCCUAACACAUGCAAGUCGAACGAGUGGCGGACGGGUGAGUAAUGUCUGGGAAACUGCCUGAUGGAGGGGGAUACUUACUGGAACCGUUACUUAUACCCCCUUACCUUCAGUUUUGCCCAGUGGGGUUUACCUUUGUGGUGGGGUAACGGAGCACAAAGACGACGCUCCCUAGCUGGUCUGACAGGAUGACCAGCCACACUGGAACUGAGACACGGUCCAGACUCCUACGGGAGGCAGCAGUGGUGAAUAUUGCACAAGGGGCGAAAGCCUGAUGCAGCCAUGCCGCGUGUAUGAAGAAGGCCUUCGGGUUGUAAAGUACGUUCAGCGGGGAGGCGGUACCCGCAGAAGAAGCACCGGCUAACUCCGUGCCAGCAGCCGCGGUAAUAC
rnacentral:rRNA from 1 species